AUGAACGCUGGCGGCGUGCCUAAUACAUGCAAGUCGAGCGAACGGACGAGAAGCUUGCUUCUCUGAUGUUAGCGGCGGACGGGUGAGUAACACGUGGAUAACCUACCUAUAAGACUGGGAUAACUUCGGGAAACCGGAGCUAAUACCGGAUAAUAUUUUGAACCGCAUGGUUCAAAAGUGAAAGACGGUCUUGCUGUCACUUAUAGAUGGAUCCGCACUGCAUUAGCUAGUUGGUAAGGUAACGGCUUACCAAGGCAACGAUGCAUAGCCGACCUGAGAGGGUGAUCGGCCACACUGGAACUGAGACACGGUCCAGACUCCUACGGGAGGCAGCAGUAGGGAAUCUUCCGCAAUGGGCGAAAGCCUGACGGAGCAACGCCGCGUGAGUGAUGAAGGUCUUCGGAUCGUAAAACUCUGUUAUUAGGGAAGAACAUAUGUGUAAGUAACUGUGCACAUCUUGACGGUACCUAAUCAGAAAGCCACGGCUAACUACGUG
rnacentral:rRNA from 1 species